UACGUAGGGGGCAAGCGUUGUCCGGAAUUAUUGGGCGUAAAGCGUCCGCAGGUGGCACCUCAAGUCUGCUGUCAAAGACCGGGGCUUAACCCCAGAAAGGCAGUGGAAACUGAAGUGCUAGAGUGCAGUAGGGGUAGAGGGAAUUCCCGGUGUAGCGGUGAAAUGCGUAGAGUAUCGAGAGGAACACCAGAGGUGAAGACGGGUUGCUGGGCCGACACGUGACGCUGAGGCGCGAAAGCCAGGGGAGCGAAACGGGA
rnacentral:rRNA from 1 species